rnacentral:rRNA from 1 species
CAGGGAAUCUUGCGCAAUGGACGGCAGUCCGACGCAGCGACGCCGCGUGGGUGAAGACGGCCUUCGGGUUGUAAAGCCCUUUUCUGGGGGAAGAGAUAGGACGGUACUCCAGGAAUAAGUGUCGGCUAACUACGUGCCAGCAGCCGCGGUAAUACGUAGGACACGAGCGUUAUCCGGAUUUACUGGGCGUAAAGCGCCUGUAGGCGGUUCUUCAAGUCGUUUGUGAAAGCCCUGGGCUCAACUCGGGGAGGCCAAGCGAUACUGG